UAAAGGGGUUCCAGACACAUUUCUUGCUGUAGAAGCUCAAAGAGUGGACAGUGUUUGAGAAAACAGAGAGGGAAACCUCAGGCUGUGAUCAGUUAGGGAUGCAUGAGGACGCUCAGUAUCUGUAAUGCAGAUGACUCAGUCAUAAUGGCAGAAAGACUGAAAAAUGAUCCAGUUAUAAUGGCAGAGGCAGUGGGUGAUCCGAAACUGCAGAACGGCUGUCGAUGGAGGAAAGACUGAGCAAAAAUCAGAGGAUGGUCCAAUCGAGACGGAGCGAUCGGGAAGCCUCGGGUAUAAAUAUGGGCAUGAGUUACAAAUCACCUUUAGAAACACUUGCAAAAUGUAGAGGAAAGAGACAGCUGAUCAAACCAAAACACAUUUAAAGCAGAAAAUGGACAAAGACUUCAGGCUGAUUGUCUCAUGGGCUGGUUGAACAGGGAAAGUAAAAGUAAAGAAAACAACAUAAAAAGCCUAGAAAAUAUGACAAAAGCAGAAAUUAAUAAAAUUCAAAAGAAAAUCUAGUGAAAGCUGCUGGCUUUCGCCUACCGUACCAAGAUCAGUCUUAAGAUCUGUGGGCAGACUUAAUUUUCUGCCGGGUCCCUUUACUGAAACAAAAGAAUAGGAAACAAAGCACCAGUUAAUCCCUUCAAACAAAAUGAAAUAAAGAAAUAAAAGGCAGAUAAUCUAUGGGGGAAAAAAUACCAAAUAAAUGAAAAGAAAACUGACUCAAAAUGAACAACGAGCCAAAGCAUGCAGAUCGGUGCUUCUGCAGAUCUCAAAAAUGCAUGCUCCAUUCUCGCCCCAGGCCGGAUUUUAGAUUCAGAAUUCAGUGACCUCCAGAGCAGGUUGUACAUUUCCAAAGCUUGCUUCUAGUACUGAAUAUUGGCUUGCAGAUCUGCAUCAUCAUGGAGGCCUGGGACGUCUGAGAUGGAGAUACAAACCAAAAAAACAAAAAAAGGCCAACACCACAGAGGUGUCGCUUCAACGACCACAUUAAGACACUGAAGUCAACCAAAAGAGUUCUGGGAAACAUUUUGCAAGCAUUUUGCAGUUAGUAGAGAACUGGAGGAGUUGAGAAGCUCAGUCUCAAAAAAAGAAAAAAACAAAUCUGUUGGUCGUCAUGGAGACGUGUGGCAAAAGAGGGGCAAAAACUUUAAGUUGGACACGUUUUUACUCUCUAAAGUACUUCUUUCAUCUGGAUUGGCAGAAGAUCCUUUGAUUCAGACUUGCCUACAACAGGACUGAGGCAUUACGUCAGGUGCAACAUUAUCCCAAGCUUCCCUCUUUAUAACUGGUCUCUGAGGGAGAGCUUACAUGGAGAACGGCAGACUGAUGGCACAGAGGCAUGCCGGUGUCCUUGGGACUCUGAGGGCUGCAACAUGAAGGAAAUGGCUGCUGGCUUCUCCCCUUGCAAAUAGUCUGAGAUAAAUCAAUUCAAUUUCAACCAAAGCAUCACACAGAUGGUUUUUGAGAGUUUGACGGUGAAGCAGUCGAGUGUGGCGAUGGCGCGUCUCACCGUGAGGGAAGGUGACCUGGAAUGGUUUGGAGGUGU